CAAUUCGAAAUGACAACAAAUAUGGAAGUCGCACAGAGAUACAAAGCAAACACCUACAUACACCAACCAACACACACUCGUUUAUAGCCAGGGAAAUCUGCCAGGGGGCGGGGCUGAGUAGGAGAUUGGAAAAACUUGGGUCGAACGAGAAGCGAAAACUGCUGACAGUUGCAUAAACAAUAAAGGCAGACCCCCAAAAAGCGAACUCAGCCAGCGAAACGAUCCAACGAAUGCGGUCAACAUCAAAAGGAGGAUAAAAAAAAUGAAAAUAAAGGAGAGGAGAGGAAAAGAAAGAGGUGGAUAAGCGGAAGAAGGGACCAUCGAAAGGAAAGCAAAACGAAACUAGAACUAUUACUGCCACUGCAACACACAUGCAACGUGUGGCAAGUCUGGGACUGGCUCCAAAACACCCAAACCACCCAAGCCACCCAAUGCCCACCCUCAUCUCCAUGACGGCUAGAACAACAAUGUGACAUUUUUUCCACUUUGACGACAAUUUCCCUCGCGGCACUAACGGCAGCAGCAAGAGCAAAGCAACAGUAGCUAGUUGUAGGUAGUGCCACGCCAUUGCCAUAGCCACUGCCGAAUCUAAAGCUAGACGGCAAUGAAACUUAAGGAUACAACGGGAGUGCCGAGUCCAGAAAACAAAAAGAGAAUUCCUGAUCGAUGGGUCGCAGUUUUGGAUGCCCUUUAGGCGUUGAGGAUGAGAUACCCUCCAAAGAUCAGAACUGAUAAAAAAAGGAUUUAAUUUGAUUUAUAGGACAAAUGAAACCGAAAAUAACAUUUUUCAACUAAG
ensembl:ncRNA lncRNA:CR44412 long non-coding RNA:CR44412